GAGUUUGAUCAUGGCUCAGGACGAACGCUGGCGGCGUGCCUAACACAUGCAAGUCGAACGGAAUCCAGAUUGUGCUUGCACUUUUGAAGAUUUAGUGGCGAACGGGUGAGUAACACGUGAGAAACUUGCCCCGAACUUUGGGAUAACUCAGGGAAACUUGAGCUAAUACCGGAUAUGCUCAUGUCAUCGCAUGGUGAUUUGAGGAAAGAUUUUUCGGUUCGGGAGAGUCUCGCGGCCUAUCGGCUUGUUGGUGAGGUAACGGCUUACCAAGGCUACGACGGGUAGCUGGUUUGAGAGAACGAUCAGCCACACUGGAACUGAGACACGGUCCAGACUCCUACGGGAGGCAGCAGUGGGGAAUCUUGCGCAAUGGGCGAAAGCCUGACGCAGCAACGCCGCGUGCGGGAUGACGGCCUUCGGGUUGUAAACCGCUUUCAGCAGGGACGAAAAUGACGGUACCUGCAGAAGAAGCUCCGGCUAACUACGUGCCAGCAGCCGCGGUAAUACGUAGGGAGCAAGCGUUGUCCGGAUUUAUUGGGCGUAAAGAGCUCGUAGGCGGUUCCGUAAGUCGAAUGUGAAAAAUCUGGGCUUAACCCAGUGGAGCAUUUGAUACUGCGGUGACUAGAGUCCGGUAGGGGAGUGUGGAAUUUGUAGUGUAGCGGUGAAAUGCGCAGAUAUUACAGGGACACCACGGCGAAGCAGCACU
rnacentral:rRNA from 1 species